rnacentral:rRNA from 1 species
UACGAAGGGGGCUAGCGUUGCUCGGAAUUACUGGGCGUAAAGCGCACGUAGGCGGUCUUUUAAGUCGGGGGUGAAAUCCUGGAGCUCAACUCCAGAACUGCCCUUCGAUACUGGAGACUUGAGUCCGGGAGAGGUGAGUGGAACUGCGAGUGUAGAGGUGAAAUUCGUAGAUAUUCGCAAGAACACCAGUGGCGAAGGCGGCUCACUGGCCCGGUACUGACGCUGAGGUGCGAAAGCGUGGGGAGCAAACAGG